AUUUUUAUGAUUACCUAGGAAUGUGGCUGUGACUUUUGUGUUGAAAAAUUUCACCAAGAGAGAGAUUUUAACUCACAGCUUUGUUUUUUGUUUCUUUAAUUUCUAACGUGCUUUUCCCAAGGGAGCUUUCCAUACCCACUGAGCAAUUUGACUGGUUCCUUUCUGUGCACUUCCUCCCUCAGCCUGACACCCGGUCUUACUGAUUCUGUCUCCAAACAGCCUUCAGACCUGCCUGUUCUCUCUCACCUCAUCGAUGCCACUGGGCUCAGGCCCCGUCCUUUCUCACCUGAAAUACGUAUUCUCCUAACAGUCUGCUCACACCUGCUCUUGAACCUCCCACUCUCCUUGCAAACCAGCCAGAUGAUGGCCGUUGUUUACGACCUUUACUGGCUUCCCACUGCACGUGGAACACAUUUCCGGCUGGAAAUGAGAGGAGGAGGAGGCUGUGGGGGCCACUUACUGUGAGAGUCUGGAUGACCUGCUUCAGCGAUCAGACUUUGUGCUGUUGGCCGUGAGCCUGACGCCCCAGACCCAGAGGCUGAUUGGGAAGCGGGAGCUGAAUCUGAUGAAGCCCACUGCCAUUCUCGUCAACAUCGGCACAGAUACUUGCCUGCGCCACGGUCUGUGCGGAGGCCCGCGGGGCUGCAAAGUCUGCAAAGUCGGCCCAGCUCGACUUUCUCCUGGACAGCUGUGGGUCCAGAGAGUCCGUGCGCACUGGCGGGUGAUGAGCUCAAGGGAGUUUCCAUUUAGAAAUAUUUCUGA